rnacentral:lncRNA from 7 species
UGUUGUGCAGUGAAGGACGGCGUGGACGGGAUGAUCGAGUACGGCGCCAACGCGCGAGCCCUCCGCCGGGCUCUACUUCGUCCAGCAGCACGCCCGGGACCACUCCAUGCCCCUGCUAGUUCCUCGACGCCUGGCCCUGUCCUGCAUGCCUUCCUCUCCCCCCUUGCUUUUCUUCCUUUCCCCUGCUUGUGCAUGCUGGAGCUGCUUUAGCUAGAGCCGGAGCUCUAUCAAACGGGAGCUCGCGGAGAAGACACGCUGAUUUCGGACCUCCCCUUGCCGAUGACAUGAUAAGGACAUAUAUAGAUCGCUGCAAAUAACGUCGAAGGCCCAGCCAAAGAGAGGGUCGUAUCGUACUGCAGAUACACUAAUUCUUGGCUGUAAUUUGUGAGAUCGUUUUUGUCACUCUUUUUUUUAGCGCGUGAAUUGGUACAUCCAGGGUCAUCGCUGUACUCUAGAACAGCCUGAACAAUAGAGCGUUUUUGUCAGAGCACCCAACGCCAUUCUCCAGUUUUUUUUCCAGAAGAUCUGAUCUGGUUGGGCUGCCAUUAAUUAUCUCCAGUGACGACUGUGGUGUCUGCCCCUGCCGUCCAUAGAAAGAGGAAAACACGCACCAGCAGCAGCAGCGAUAGCGGCAGACACCAUUAUUGAAAAAGGAAAAGGAUAGCUGAUGAGCGGAGCCACUGUUAAUUUAGGCUUUUAAGGACAGCCGGGCACUGUUUGUUUAGACCUUUCUGACUUCUGAGACCGCGUGAGCAUGAAAUGAUGCGUCUAUUCAAAGGCAGGCAGCGCAAAUGUUUUAGAUCUACAUAUAAGAUCUCUCCCUUGUUAUCAUGUGUGUUAAUUAAUCACAGUACAAGUUAG